CCCCCAGUAACGGCGAGUGAAGCGGGAGAAGCCCAUGCUGCCAACCGCUCCGGCGGGUUGUGCCAGGCGUGCCUGGUGAGGUCCCGGGGAGAAGUCCUUUGGAACAAGGUAUCAGAGAGGGUGACAAUCCCGUCUGUGCCUCGGGGUCCUCGCGUGAAGGCCGUGCUAAUGGAGUCGAGUUGCUUGGGAUUGCAGCUCAAAGUCGGUGGUAAAUUCCAUCGAAGGCUAAAUACGGGUGGGAGACCGAUAGCGAACAAGUACUGUGAAGGAAAGAUGAAAAGAACUUUGAAAAGAGAGUUAAAGAGUGCCUGAAAUUGCUGAGAGGGAACCGAAGGUGAUCAGUGGGGGCCGCUGCCAUUUUUCGUGUUCCGACGUCGGAGCACGCCCUGUGGCAGGGGCCCGCUCCGCGCCGUCGCGUCCGGCCGUAAGCUUGGGGCCGGGGGUGGUGGGGCGGAGGAAAUGGUCCUCUUUACCCCGUCUUGA
rnacentral:rRNA from 1 species